rnacentral:rRNA from 1 species
UACGUAGGGUGCGAGCGUUGUCCGGAAUUAUUGGGCGUAAAGAGCUCGUAGGCGGUUUGUCGCGUCGACUGUGAAAACCCGAGGCUUAACCUCGGGCCUGCAGUCGAUACGGGCAGACUAGAGUUCGGUAGGGGAGACUGGAAUUCUCGGUGUAGCGGUGAAAUGCGUAGAUAUCGAGAGGAACACCUGCGGCGAAGGCGGGUUGCUGGGCUGACACUGACGCUGAGGCGCGAAAGCUAGGGGAGCGAACGGG